rnacentral:rRNA from 1 species
AAAGGUAGCAUAAUCAUUUGACUUUUAAAUGGAGCCUAGAAUGAAAGAAAGCACGUAGACAGCUUGUCUCAUUAUAACAAUACGUUAAAAUUACUGUAUGAGUGAAAAUACUCUUAAAUUUAAAAAUAGACGAGAAGACCCUUAGAAUUUUAAAAAAAUAUAAAUUGAUUUUGUAAGAUUUUUUGUUGGGGCAACAAUAUUUCAAUAGAAUAAAUAUUUUAUUAAAGAAUAAGUCGAUUUAAUAGUUAUAGUUAAAUUACCUAAGGGAUAACAGCAUAAUUUUAAUAAUAAGUUUGUGACCUCGAUGUUGGACUAGGUACUAUUAAGGCUAAUCGUUUUAAUAUAAUAUGUUCUGUUCGAACUUUACUACCUACAUGAUC